rnacentral:lncRNA from 1 species
UUCUGGAUAUACCUUUGUGCAAUGUAUAACUGAAGUAUGAUCAUUUCCUUGCAUAAACUAAGCAUACUAUUAAAAUUUUGUGUGUCAGGCCUUAAGAGUAGAUUGCCUUUUCUGUACUUUUGUGUUGCUUCAUCCAUUAAUUAUUUAUUAAAAUGUUAACACUUCAUUGUUAAUGUAUGGUUGUUUACCUUUUGGUGUCGACUUUCGACUUACUGAUUUGUGCAAUCAAAUAUAGAAAAGGAUCUCGUUUCGGACACGACAGCCUUGCUGAUGGCAUGCUUAAGGAUGACCUGAUGUUACUGAUGACACACAUUGAGUUACCUCGCACCAUCAUUUGGCCUUUCAAGCACUUGAUUUGCAUUUUUUUGAUGUAAUCAAAUAGUGUCCCUGCAUCUUAACAAGCCACCCAUUUAAUGUGUCAUCCUUUCCUUUUCUUUUCCUGGAGUUUUUUCAAUAAACAUCGAUGCACUUAUGGAUAGUACAUUGACGCUGAUGAUUCUAUCUUCUUUAUUUGAGAAUAUGAUAUUGUACAUGUAUUAUAGAUUGGAUUACAAAAUAGUGGUUGUAGUUCUUAUGAUUUGCAGUAGCUUAGGUCUGGUGCUGUGGCUUUAGCACAUAACAUGGAUCGGUUUUAAUAUUCUGUUCAUGCUCAUCUUCGCAUUUUAUAGGCAGGUUGUUUGGGAUAAUUUGUACUUUACUAAAUUACUGCUAAAGUGGUUUUGUUGAGAGUUGAAACUAUACCAAUGUUUUGCUUUCUGCUAAAGUCAAAGAUAUUGUAUCCUUGAAUGUUUUUCAAUUACCAACACAUGCCAAAUUCUGCAUAUUUGUUAAUGAUUUCGAUGCCUUCUGUUAGUUUUGCACUAUGGAAGUCAUUGUUUGCUAUGUAUGAAUAUUGGCUUAUUGGGUUUAGAAAACAUUGUAUAUUUUUUAUAUGCUCUCAGUUGAACACGUUUCGGUAUGUAGUGUACAUGGUAUAGGCAGGUAAGAAAACAACCUUAUUUAAGCUCAGGCCUGACUAGCGAUUAAGUCAUUAAAUUUUAGUGGGUAGGUAAAAGAGCAGCCCUAUUUUCGGUAUGCUUGACUUUCAGUAUUUUUGGUCACAGAUUUGUUGAUCUUGUUUACUGCCUCUAUCAAAAUAUUUGUACAAAUCCAGACUACAAAACGUCUUAUAUAUUGAUAGAGUGAGGACUACAGAUUGUGCUGGUGGCAACCUGGGGAAGACUUAUCGACGUGGAUACAGCCACAUUCCUUGACCGAAAUGAUCCAAACUAUGAUAGUAACAAGGUAAUACUUCAUGGUCUUGACCUACACAUUCAUGUCGUUUUUCAUGCAAUGAUGAACCUUCUAAUCCAAGCAAGGGUCUUCUUUAUGUUUGCAGAUAGUUUGGUGCUCUCAUGGUUAUUUUGUAGAGAUUGUCCUUCUGUUCAUUAUUUGGCAAUCAUCUACUGCAGCUCAGCUACUGUCCAGCUGCUUCCCUUAUGGUGAGUGAUUGAUGGUGCAUGUUUUCCUAUUAGUUUCUCCUGUAUGCCAAUUUCUCAAUUUAGGUUGCUGUUUUGCAUUUCUCUAGGCCUUUCAUUCUCACUGUGAUCCCCUGAGAUGCCUUGUGUAUUUGCGUUGUCCUCUGCUUCUGAUAAUGCAAGACAGAUCAAACCAAUGCAGUAAUCCUCUGAUCCUUCAUUAUAUUAUGAAAAAAACACUAUGAUUUUCCAUGUCAGGGUACUACUAUGUCAAAUUGAUGCUUUGUACUACAUGUUCAGGUGUAUACCCUGACAAUAUUGGGCAUUUGCAUUGUCAUUUGCUUUAUUUGUUCAUAUCGCAUUGUUUUUUUAGUUAUAGCCGGUUUUAUUUGCUAUUCAAACCCAUCCAUUUGUCUUGUUUUCAUUUUUUUCUUACAAAUUUUUUCUGAUGAGAAGAUGUCUUUUAGUUGUGUAUUUGUUCUCUUGAAUUCAUUUGUUUCUUAUGCAAGGGUUCUCUAAAAAAAUAAUUUUGUAGGCAAGACGAAACUUAAAAGGGGAUCUCGGACAAGUGGAAGGAGGGAAGUCGUCGUAAGAUAGAUAAUAAACUUGCCUCCGCUCUGACAAGAGCAUGUUCGUUCAGACCUUUUCUUACUAAAAGAUUUUUAUCUAUAGCAAGUGUUUCCAUUGGAACUAUCAAAUUCAAACUCCUAGAUGUCUAUGUCAGCAUGUAGGACUUUGUCCAGGCGGAGAUAUCCCCUCUGAUCUUUUUAUGAAUCCUUCCACACUUCUUUGUAAAGUGUUGCUGAUUUUAAUAAAAUCUCUCUAUUCAAAAGACAAUAUAAUUCAAGCUACUAGAGGAGCUUGUUCAUUCAGACCUUUCCUUACAUUUUAACUAUGAUAGUGACCUCUUUUAUUUGUCUA